rnacentral:lncRNA from 1 species
UGCCUGUAACUUUUUUAUUAUUUUAGUUAGGAGGGUGAUUUAAAUAGUGAGGGAUUGAGAAAGGUUAAAGGAUCACUUUAUGUCUCUAUAAAUUUUUUGAGAAAUAAUUACUUUUUGAGAAAUCCCCCAAAAUGGAGUCAGACAGUUGUAAAAAAAAUUGUCCUCUAACAAAAUUGCCUGUAACUUCUUUAUUAUUUUAGUUAGGAGGGUGAUUUAAAUAGUGAGGGAUUGAGAGAGGCUAAAGGGUCAUUUUAUGUCUCUAUAAAUUUUUUGAGAAAUAAUUACUUUUUGAGAAAUUGCCCAAAAUCGAGUCAGACAGUUGGAAAAAAAAUUGUCCUCUAACAAAAUUGCCUGUAACUUUUUUAAUAUUUUAGUUAGGAGGGUGAAUUAAAUAGUGAGGGAUUGAGAAAGGUUAAAGGGUCAUUUUAUGUCUCUAUAAAUUUUUUGAGAAAUAAUUACUUUUUGAGAAAUUGCUCGAAAUCGAGUCGGACAGUUGGAAAAAAAAUUGUUCUUUAACAAAAUUGCCUGUAACUUUUUUAUUAUUUUAGUUAGGAGGGUGAUUUAAAUAGGGAGGGAUUGAGAGAGGUUAAAGGGUCAUUUUAUGACUCUAUAAAUUUUUUGAGAAAUAAUUACUUUUUGAGAAAUCCCCCAAAAUGGAGUCAGACAGUUGUAAAAAAAAUUGUCCUCUAACAAAAUUGCCUGUAACUUCUUUAUUAUUUUAGUUAGGAGGGUGAUUUAAAUAGUGAGGGAUUGAGAGAGGCUAAAGGGUCAUUUUAUGUCUCUAUAAAUUUUUUGAGAAAUAAUUACUUUUUGAGAAAUUGCCCAAAAUCGAGUCAGACAGUUGGUAAAAAAAUUGUCCUCUAACAAAAUUGCCUGUAACUUUUUUAUUAUUUUAGUUAGGACGGUGAUUUAAAUAGGGAGGGAUUGAGAGAGGUUAAAGGGUCAUUUUAUGUCUCUACAAAUUUUUUGAGAAAUAAUUACUUUUUGAGAAAUUGCCCAAAAUCGAGUCAGACAGUUGGAAAAAAAAUUGUCCUCUAACAAAAUUACCUGUAGGUUCUUUAUUAUUUUAGUUAGGAGGGUGAUUUAAAUAGUGAGGGAUUGAGAAAGGUUAAAGGAUCACUUUAUGUCUCUAUAAAUUUUUUGAGAAAUAAUUACUUUUUGAGAAAUCCCCCAAAAUGGAGUCAGACAGUUGUAAAAAAAAUUGUCCUCUAACAAAAUUGCCUGUAACUUCUUUAUUAUUUUAGUUAGGAGGGUGAUUUAAAUAGUGAGGGAUUGAGAGAGGCUAAAGGGUCAUUUUAUGUCUCUAUAAAUUUUUUGAGAAAUAAUUACUUUUUGAGAAAUUGCCCAAAAUCGAGUCAGACAGUCGAAAAAAAAAUUGUCCUCUAACAAAAUUGCCUGUAACUUUUUUAUUAUUUUAGUUAGGAGGGUGAUUUAAAUAGUGAGGGAUUGAGAGAGGUUAAAGGGUCAUUUUAUGUCUCUAUAAAUUUUUUGAGAAAUAAUUACUUUUUGAGAAAUUGCCCAAAAUCGUGUCAGACAGUUGGAAUAAAAAUUGUCCUCUAACAAAAUUGCUUGUAACUUUUUUAUUAUUUUAGUUAGGAGGAUGAUUUAAAUAGUGAGGGAUUGAGAAAGGCUAAAGGGUCAUUUUAUGUCUCUAUAAAUUUUUUGAGAAAUAUUUACUUUUUGAGAAAUCCCCCAAAAUGGAGUCAGACAGUUGGAAAAAAAAUUGUCCUCUAACAAAAUUGCCUGUAACUUUUUUAAUAUUUUAGUUAGGAGGGUGAUUUAAACAGGGAGGGAUUGAGAAAGGUUAAAGGGUCAUUUUAUGUCUCUAUAAAUUUUUUGAGAAAUAAUUCCUUUUUGAGAAAUCCCCCAAAAUGGAGUCGGACAGUUGGAAAAAAAAUUGUCCUCUAACAAAAUUGCCUGUAACUUUUUUAAUAUUUUAGUUAGGAGGGUGAUUUAAACAGGGAGGGAUUGAGAAAGGUUAAAGGGUCAUUUUAUGUCUCUAUAAAUUUUUUGAGAAAUAAUUACUUUUUGAGAAAUUGCCCAAAAUCGAGUCAGACAGUCGAAAAAAAAAUUGUCCUCUAACAAAAUUGCCUGUAACUUUUUUAUUAUUUUAGUUAGGAGGGUGAUUUAAAUAGUGAGGGAUUGAGAGAGGUUAAAGGGUCAUUUUAUGUCUCUAUAAAUUUUUUGAGAAAUAAUUACUUUUUGAGAAAUUGCCCAAAAUCGUGUCAGACAGUUGGAAUAAAAAUUGUCCUCUAACAAAAUUGCUUGUAACUUUUUUAUUAUUUUAGUUAGGAGGGUGAUUUAAACAGGGAGGGAUUGAGAAAGGUUAAAGGGUCAUUUUAUGUCUCUAUAAAUUUUUUGAGAAAUAAUGACUUUUUGAGAAAUCCCCCAAAAUGGAGUCAGACAGUUGGAAAAAAAAUUGUUCUCUAACAAAAUUGCCUGUAACUUUUUUAUUAUUUUAGUUAGGAGGGUGAUUUAAAUAGUGAGGGAUUGAGAGAGGUUAAAGGGUCAUUUUAUGUCUCUAUAAAUUUUUUGAGAAAUAAUUACUUUUUGAGAAAUUGCCCAAAAUCGAGUCAGACAGUUGGAAAAAAAAUUGUCCUCUAACAAAAUUGCCUGUAACUUUUUUACUAUUUUAGUUAGGAGGGUGAUUGAAAUAGUGAGGGAUUGAGAAAGGUUAAAGGGUCAUUUUAUGUCUCUACAAAUUUUUUGAGAAAUAAUUACUUUUUGAGAAAUUGCCCAAAAUCGAGUCAGACAGUUGGAAAAAAAAUUGUCCUCUAACAAAAUUGCCUGUAACUUUUUUAAUAUUUUAGUUAGGAGGGUGAUUUAAAUAGUGAGGGAUUGAGAGAGGUUAAAGGGUCAUUUUAUGUUUCUAUAAUUUUUUUGAGAAAUAAUUCCUUUUUGAGAAAUCCCCCAAAAUGGAGUCGGACAGUUGGAAAAAAAAUUGUCCUCUAACAAAAUUGCCUGUAACUUUUUUAUUAUUUUAGUUAGGAGGAUGAUUUAAAUAGUGAGGGAUUGAGAGAGGCUUAAGGGUCAGUUUAUGUCUCUAUAAAUUUUUUGAGAAAUAAUUACUUUUUGAGAAAUUGCCCAAAAUCGAGUCAGACAGUUGGAAAAAAAAUUGUCCUCUAACAAAAUUGCCUGUAACUUUUUUAAUAUUUUAGUUAGGAGAGUGAUUUAAAUAGUGAGGGAUUGAGAAAUGUUAAAGGGUCAUUUUAUGUCUCUAUAAAUUUUUUGAGAAAUAAUUACUGUUUGAGCAAUUGCCCAAAAUGGAGUCAGACAGUUGGAAAAAAAAUUGUCCUCUAACAAAAUUGCCUGUAACUUCUUUAGUAUUUUAGUUAGGAGUUUUAGUA